AUGCUCUAUGUCCAGGUCUUUCUUUCUUUCUUUCUUUCUUUCUUUCUUUCUUUCUUUCUUUCUUUCUUUCUUUCUUUCUUUCUUUCUUUCUUUCUUUCUUUCUUUCUUUCUUUCUUUCUUUCUUUCUUUCUUUCUUUCUUUCUUUCUUUCUUUCUUUCUUUCUUUCUUUCUUUCUUUCUUUCUUUCUUUCCUUCUCUUUUCUUUCUUUCUCUCUCUCUCUUUCUUUCUUUCUUUCUUUCUUUCUUUCUUUCUUUCUUUCUUUCUUUCUUUCUUUCUUUCUUUCUUUCUUUCUUUCUUUCUUUCUUUCUUUCUUUCUUUCUUUCUUUCUUUCUUUCUUUCUUUCUUUCUUUCUUUCUUUUUCUUUCUUUCUUUCUUUCUUUCUUCCUCUUCCUUCCUUCUUUCCUUGCUUCCUUGCUUCCUUGCUUCCUUCCUUCCGGGUUGAAAACUUCCUCUACCAAAACAAAUCAGUCUAGUGUCUGCAACUAAUACUUUGGAGUGUUUCUUAGGUCACUGAAAGAUGAAGUGGCUAGUCAGGGUCCCACAGAAAGUAUGUGUAGCAAAGGGGGAUUUGAAACUGUAUCUUCUUGAACCCCACAUCAGCACCCUGUUCACUAGGCUAUGCUGCUCCUCAAUCUGAUUAUCCUGUCAUAAAAAAGGACAUGAGAUUAGUCUGGAAUCUAUUCUUGAUAAAAGCAUACUGGCUUUUAGCAAUCAUUGCCUCUCUAAGUGCUCACAAACUAUCCCUUUAAUAAUAUGCUAUAACCUUUGUCCAGAAACAUGAGUCACACUCACUGGUCUACUGGUUUAUAGACUGCAGACUCUACCAUUCUUGUGUGUGUGUGUGUGUGUGUGUGUGUGUGUGUGUGUGUGUGUGUGUGUGUGUGUGUGUGAGAGAGAGAGAGAGAGAGAGAGAGAGAGAGAGAGAGAAAGAGACAGACAGACAGACAGAGAGACAGAGACAGAGAGACAGAGACAGAGACAGAGACAGGGAAAGAGACAGAGACAGAGACAGAGGAGAGAGAGAGACAGAAAGUAGAGAGAGGAGGGGGUAGAGGAAGGAGAGGGAGAAUUGGUACAAUGGCCUCUCAGAAUCUGACAGCUCUUUUAGCACACAGCUAGAGGGUAGUUUUUCUGGGCCAGGUUAUUUGGAUUCAUUCAGGACAGCAAGGUGCUAUCUGAUUUUUUCUUUCACUUUUAACUCUUUGUUCUUUCCUCCCCUUGCAGACAACACUGUACUUAGAAAAGUGAGAGCAAAAAUGCAACAGGAGAUGAAUAAUUUAGCCUCCCAUAGUCUAUUGUCAUCUCAUCCAUACAGAACAGUUGUCCUUUCCCUCCUUUGCAUUAUAAUAUAGCUCCAACAAAUAAACUGUUUUUCUUAUCAAUAAUGUUCA
rnacentral:lncRNA from 1 species